GAUGAACGCUGGCGGCGUGCCUAAUACAUGCAAGUCGAGCGAACGGACGAGAAGCUUGCUUUUCUGAUGUUAGCGGCGGACGGGUGAGUAACACGUGGAUACCCUACCUAUAAGACUGGGAUCACUUCGGGAAACCGGAGCUAACACCGGAUAAUAUUUUGAACCGCAUGGUUCAAAAGUGAAAGACGGUCUUGCUGUCACUUAUAGCUGGAUCCGCGCUGCAUUAGCGAGUUGGUACGGUAACGGCUUACCAAGGCAACGAUGCAUAGCCGACGUGUGAGGGGGAUCGGCCACACUGGAACUGAGACGCGGUCCAGACUCCGACGGGAGGCAGCAGUAGGGAAUCGUGCGCAAUGGGCGAAAGCCUGACGGAUCAGCGCCGCGUGAGUGAUGAAGGUCUUCGGGUCGUAAAACUCUGUUAUUGGGGAAAAACAUAUGUGUAAGUAACGGUGCGCAUCUGGACGGUACCUAAACAGAAGGCCACGGCUAACUACGU
rnacentral:rRNA from 1 species